rnacentral:rRNA from 1 species
GACGAACGCUGGCGGCGUGCUUAACACAUGCAAGUCGAACGGAAAGGCCCUGCUUUUGUGGGGUGCUCGAGUGGCGAACGGGUGAGUAACACGUGAGUAACCUGCCCUUGACUUUGGGAUAACUUCAGGAAACUGGGGCUAAUACCGGAUAGGAGCUCCUGCUGCAUGGUGGGGGUUGGAAAGUUUCGGCGGUUGGGGAUGGACUCGCGGCUUAUCCGCUUGUUGGUGGGGUAGUGGCUUACCAAGGCUUUGACGGAUAGCCGGCCUGAGAGGGGGACCGGCCACAUGGGGACUGAGAUACGGCCCAGACGCGUACGGGAGGCAGCAGGGGGGAGUAUGGCACAACGGGCGGAAGCCUGAUGCAGCAACGCCGCGUGCGGGAUGACGGCCUUCGGGUUGUAAACCGCUGUCGCCUGUGACGAAGCGUGAGUGACGGUAACGGGUAAAGAAGCACCGGCUAACUACGUG